CGUAGGGAGCAAGCGUUGUUCGGAUCUACUGGGCGUAAAGGGCGCGUAGGCGGCCUGUCAAGUCAACUGUGAAAUCUCCGGGCUUAACUCGGAACGGUCAGUUGAUACUGUCAGGCUAGAGUGCAGAAAGGGCAAUCGGAAUUCUUGGUGUAGCGGUGAAAUGCGUAGAUAUCAAGAGGAACACCUGAGGCGAAGGCGGGUUGCUAGGCUGACACUGACGCUGAGGCGCGAAAGCCAGGGGAGCAAACGGGAUUAGAUACCCCGGUAGUCCUGGCCCUAAACGAUGAAUACUUGGUGUCUGGAAUCAUUAUUGUUCCGGGUGCCGUCGCUAACGUUUUAAGUAUUCCGCCUGGGGAGUACGCACGCAAGUGUG
rnacentral:rRNA from 1 species